rnacentral:rRNA from 1 species
GACGAACGCUGGCGGCGUGCUUAACACAUGCAAGUCGAACGCUGAAGCUCAGCUUUUGUUGGGUGGACGAGUGGCGAACGGGUGAGUAACACGUGAGUAACCUGCCCCCUUCUUUGGGAUAACGCCCGGAAACGGGUGCUAAUACCGGAUAUUCACUGGUCUUCGCAUGGGGGUUGGUGGAAAGGGCUGUUCUGGUGGGGGAUGGGCUCGCGUCCUAUCAGCUUGUUGGUGGGGUGGUGGCCCACCACGGCUUUGACGGGUGGCCGGCCUGAGAGGGUGACCGGUCAGGUUGGGAGUGAGAUACGGCCCAGACUACUGCGGGGGGCAGCAGUGGAGAAUAUUGCGCGAUAUGCUGAAGCCUGGUGGGGCGACGGCGCGAGAGGGGUCGCGUCCUUGGUGUUGGGAAUCUCUUUCGAUCAUGGUCAAGCCGGAACAAUGGUUUUGGUGAGGGUAGUGGGUAAAGAAGCACCGGCUAACUACGUG